rnacentral:rRNA from 1 species
CCUACGGGAGGCAGCAGUGGGGGAUAUUGCACAAUGGGGGAAACCCUGAUGCAGCGACGCCGCGUGGGUGAAGAAGCGCCUCGGCGCGUAAAGCCCUGUCAGCAGGGAAGAAAAUGACGGUACCUGAAGAAGAAGCCCCGGCUAACUACUUGCCAGCAGCCGCGGUAAUACGUAGGGGGCAAGCGUUAUCCGGAUUUACUGGGUGUAAAGGGGGCGCAGACGGCGAUGCAAGCCAGGAGUGAAAGCCCGGGGCCCAACCCCGGGACUGCUCUUGGAACUGCGUGGCUAGAGUGCAGGAGGGGCAGGCGGAAUUCCUGGUGUAGCGGUGAAAUGCGUAGAUAUAAGGAGGAACACCGGUGGCGAAGGCGGCUUACUGGACUGUAACUGACGUUGAGGCUCGAAGGCGUGGGGAGCAAACAGGAUUAGAUACCCCUGUAGUC